AAAAAAAUGGCCUCCACCACUCGAUGGGAGGAGCAGCAAAGUCUAAUUCCAAAAGGGCAUGGACACGAGGAGAUUGUCUAUUAUAGGUAAGAUUCUGGAACCCAAAGUUGUCAAAACAAGAUGCUGGUCCUUACCACGGUGAACUAUUUGGGAGAGAGAUCUUUAUCACUUAUUCGGAAAUGAGACAAAGGACAAAGGUUAUGUGUUUUCCUUCAUUCAGUACUGGAAACCAGGUUUUCCAAAUUCUCAUCAGGAGUCUUUAAACACCUUGAAGACGAUUAAAAUAUGACGGCAAUGCACUGUGAUGGAUAAGGAAGUCGUUCACUGUCCCCUGCAGAUAUAAACACCCCGGAGAAAUACAACAGUCUGAGACAUGGGAAGAGAGCCACACACAAAGGAUUUUGAGAAUCUUAACUGUGAGGAGGUAGUUAUAGUUCAACAGAAAGAAACAAAUUCCUCGACAACUGGAAGAUUCUUUCUGCAGAUAGAUAUUUGAGUUGGAUCUUUGGCUGCUACAGUAAAACCCCGAAGCAGAAGACGCUCUUCCAAAAUCCUCUUCCAUAGGGAUAUCAUCUCAUGAAGGGAAGGACUGCAUAAAAUGGGCUUGGGGUUUUUGACUGCACCACGUCCAAGUUGUAA